rnacentral:rRNA from 1 species
GACGAACGCUGGCGGCGUGCUUAACACAUGCAAGUCGAACGGAAGGGUCCUGCUUUUGUGGGGUGCUCGAGUGGCGAACGGGUGAGUAACACGUGAGUAACCUGCCCUUGACUUUGGGAUAACUUCAGGAAACUGGGGCUAAUACCGGAUAGGAGCUCCUGCUGCAUGGUGGGGGUUGGAAAGUUUCGGCGGUUGGGGAUGGACUCGCGGCUUAUCAGCUUGUUGGUGGGGUAGUGGCUUACCAAGGCUUUGACGGGUAGCCGGCCUGAGAGGGUGACCGGCCACAUUGGGACUGAGAUACGGCCCAGACUCCUACGGGAGGCAGCAGUGGGGAAUAUUGCACAAUGGGCGGAAGCCUGAUGCAGCAACGCCGCGUGCGGGAUGACGGCCUUCGGGUUGUAAACCGCCUUCGCCUGUGAGGAAGCGUGAGUGACGGUAAUGGGUAAAGAAGCACCGGCUAACUACGUG